AUGGCUCAGAACCGAACGCUGGUGGCGUGUCUAUACAUGCAAGUCGAGCGAGGCAGCAAUGCCGAGCGGCGAACGGGUGAGUAACGCGUAAGCAAUCUGCCCCAUAUCAGGAAAUACCCGUGCCAACGCGCGGUUAAUGUCCAGGAGAGUGGCUCCUUGCAUGAGGAGUUGACUAGAGAUUUAUCGGUAUGGGAUGAGCUUGCGUCCGAUUAGCUAGUGCGGGCAACGGCCCACCAAGGCGACGAUCGGUAGCCGGCCUGAGAGGGUGAUCGGCCACAUUGGGACUGAGAUACGGCCCAGACUCCUACGGGAGGCAGCAGUAGGGAAUAUUGCACAAUGGGGGAAACCCUGAUGCAGCAACGCCACGUGUGGGAAGAAAGCAUUUCGGUGUGUAAACCACUGUCAUGAGGGAAUAAGGCCCAGUUUAGGCUGGGAUUGAAUGUACCUUGAGAGGAAGCACCGGCAAACUUCGUGCCAGCAGCUGC
rnacentral:rRNA from 1 species